GGUCAACUCCUUUACCCCUGCAUGGGAUAUGAGUCAUCCCCAGAGCUCUGGCUUUCCCUGAAUAAAGCCUCGAGUGGUUUGCAUCAAGCUUGGUCUCUCGUGGGUUCUUCGGGGUCUGCUAUUAUCCUGAGACUUGAGUGAGGGUCUCCCUUUCAUUGGUCUUUCAUUGGGGGCUCAUCCAGGAUUGGUGCGACCACCCAUAUCUCCGAAGACCCACUUGGAGGGUCUUACUGCUGUGAACAGACACCAUGACCAAGAAUUCUCCUUGGUGAACAACACAGCAGGUCAUCCUCUAAAGAGCCAAGUCUAAUCUCCUGCAGAAGGCCUCUCUGUGCUCCCAGCCACAGUUUCCACCAAGCCGUGCUGCCUGCCAGGAAUGUAAGAAACCACAUCAAGGGCAUUACCAGCAGCAGUAGCAUAUCUGGUUCCCAAAGAAAACCAGGUACCUGGACAGUGGACCCGCUAUGGCCAGUGAGAUCGGCUGACUCUAAAGCGUCAUAAAAAUCCUCAGCUAUAUCUUCAUCUAGGUCAGCAACAGGACUGGGUUCCUCACCUGAAGAAAGAAUAGCAUACUUGUCUUAUGCUCCAAGCAGUGUCAGAACAUUCAGGUCAAGAUGUGAUCAUUCUGCUGCUGCUUCAGCACCAUGCCUGCUGCCUGAACCAUGAUGGUGAUGUGUGCAUCCAACUGGAACCAUGAGCCCAACUUCAAACACACCCUUUCUUCUGGAAGUUGUCUUUCUCAUGGUCUUUUCUUACAGCCAUAGAAAGUAACUAACAUAACCAUCAUCUAGGUACAGUAGGAAUGACUUCAAAAGUCUGAAGGAUUCAUUCCAAGCUGUGAAGGGGUUUUGCCCAGUGAAUUUGGCCACAAAACAAGUGAUCAAAUUCCAUAAUUCUAGCUUAGAUGGGAUACCCAGAGCACUCACUGAUUCAACCAGAUACACUUAGGAAAUGUGAGUGUUGAAAAUGGAUUUGAUGCUGCAUGGCAAAUAAGGUCUCCAUAUAUUUGCUGCUCCUUACAUCUCUGAGAAAUUCAUAACUUAGCAGCCAACUUUUGCCCUUCAAUACCAGGUUUCAUGAUACUUACAUGAAAAAGUCACACUCCAAAACAUACUCUGCAUCAUCAAACAAUAUAACACAGAGAAGGUUCAACAAAAUGAGUUAAGCAGCACUGUUGAUCAAAGGGAAAGCAUGAGGAAGCAUGCAAUCUCUGUGUCUUCAAACUGUUCAAAUGUUAGAAUUUAGUUCACUGGAUCCACUGAGAAACGGACUUGAAUACAGCAAAGUAUGUGGAAUUUUCAGACAUAGGCACGUUUUCAUACACCACGUGUUACCGGACUCAUUAUCCCCUUCCUCAUUGUGUAAAUAUGCUUGAGCCAAUUAUUAAAGAAGAAUAAAGGACCAUAUGAUGCAAAGUUAAAUUUCCAGGACAUCUUCCACUUCCAUGAAGAUAACAUUGAAGAUAAAUGAGAGCACCCUGAAGAGAUUUCCCUGAAUUGUUAGUCACACAACAGGUGUAUAUUAACAGCAUUUAUUUACCAGUAUAUUUAAAUUCAUGAUUCAAAAUAAUCUUUACCUUAGGGGUUUGUGCACAUGUCGUUACAUUACUCUGCCUGUGUUAUGCUUGUGUGUGUAUUUCUCCCCUCCCUCUCUCUGUCUUUCUCUCUCUCUUGUGUGUUUCUGUAUGUGUGUUUGUGUUUGUGUGUGUGUGUGUGUGUGUGUGUGUGUGUGUGUGUUUGUGUGUUUGUGUGUAGACUGGAGAGAAAUUUCAGGAGCUGGAUCUCUUCUUCCACAGAGUUAGAAAGAGGCUCUGACCAUUUCUGCUGCUCUCUAUGGUCUAAUCUGUCUAGCUUGUCUUUCAGGGCUGUUCUAUUCUCUUAGCCUCCAAUCUGGAUUUAGGGGUGCAGAGAUUACAGGCUUUUUCCUUUUUUCAGGAUGAAAUUCAGCUUAUUAGGGUUCCAAGGCAAGUGUACUAACCCACUGAGCCACCUGGUUGGUAUAUUUUAUGUAUAUAUAUACAUGCAGGAGUCCAUGUAUGUGUGUAUGUAUUUAUACAUAUAUCUGUAUAUAUGAGUAUGUAUAUAUACAUGUAUAUAUAUAUGUAUGCAUUUAUAUUCUAGUUUUAAAAUAAAGGGGAAAGAGGCUCUAGAGAGACAGAGACAGAGAGAGAGACACAGAGAGAGAGAGAGAGAGACAGAGACAGAGACAGAGACAGAGACAGAGAGUGGUUGGUUGUUACCCAUUUAGAAUGCAAAUGAAAUGGAGAAAAGUAUGAAUUUUUCAUUGACAUGAGAACUUUUCCUUUGCCCCAAGCUAGUUAGCAUCUUUGAAACAUGCCUGUGUCAUUGUCAUUCCUGUCUAGCUGUACCUCUUCCUAAAGACUUAUAUUGGGUAUUCUCUUAGCAUGCAAUAGAGAACUGUUAUUAUGUAGCUCAGGUCCAUCUUUUUAAAAAUUUUUUAUACUUAUUACACUGCAAUUGCCACAUAGGCUUCUGGGAAGUCUUGUGUUAGUUUGAUUUUAUGCAAGUUUAAUAUCAGAAAAUAGCAUCUAUUUUUAUUUCAAUCACAUAGUUUAUUUCUUUGAAGAAUGGAAACUACCUUUGGCUAAGUUGUGCCUGGCAUAUAUCACUGCUUUAAUGAUAUUGUGGAUUGUAUUCUAAUAAUUGGUAUAUAAAAGAAGUUGCUUCAUUUCAUGCCAACUGUAACUAUUCUGUGGUUACCAUAUCCUUCACCAUUAUUAUGUACAUUCUGUAUCAUCAUAAAAAUUCUAUUUAGGGGAAAUGUGUUUGUAUUAAGAAUGUUAGUUUUGAAAACUCUAACAGCUUUUCACUGAACUAGAUGAUGAUUGCCAAUGAAUUUCUGUGUUCCAAAAUU